rnacentral:rRNA from 1 species
AUGGUCGAUCUUCGUUGGAUCGUACUUGGUGAUUUUAAUGAAAUCCUCUUGGGACGUGAGAAGGAAGGCGGGGCACUGAGGUCCCAAAGAAAUAUGCAGAAUUUUCGUGAUGCACUGGAUGAUUGUAACUUGUUUGAUAUGGGUUACGUCGGGGACAUCUUCACAUGGCGAAGGGGAAGGAUCCGGGAGAGGCUUGACCGGGCUGUAUGUGACCAACGAUGGGAUAAUCUUUUCCCUCUGGCUGGGGUGAUCCAUGGAGAUUUCUCCAAAUCAGAUCACAGACCGAUAGGGGUCUAUACGGAGUACCAGAGUAAUGUAAGGGCAACACCUAUAGUCCGGAAACAAUUUUUUAAAGCUCGGUGGCUAGUCGAGGAAACUGUUGAUGAUGUGGUGGGCCAAGCGUGGGCAGCUGCUAACUCCAGCCCAGGGGGGCUGGCCCAAAAGGUGCGGGAGGUGCACUCGGCCCUGCAUGCAUGGGACAGGCAGGUUCUGAAGGAACCGCGGCACCAGCUGCGGACGCUGCAAGAUGAGCUUAACCAGAUCAUGUCAGGGCCUCUCACUGAUGAGGCGACUGCAAAGAUUCAGGAAUUGCAGUUGAAGAUUGAAAAUGUCCAUGAAAAGGGGGAGAUCAAAUACCUUCAGAGAAGUCAUGCGACUUGGCUGAAACAAGGAGACCGAAAUACUAGUUUCUUUCAAAAUUUCGCUUCUAUGCGGAGGAAGAUCAAUUGUAUUAAAAAACUCAAGGAUGGGAAUGGAGACUGGAUUGAGGGCCCUGCUGCUUUAAAGUCACAUAUUCCAGCAUCUCUUUUCUAG